rnacentral:rRNA from 1 species
ACGGCAGUGAAGUCAUUGAUGCCAUGCUUCCAGGAAAAGCCUCUAAGCUUCAGAUAGUCAGGAAUCGUACCCCAAACCGACACAGGUGGUCGGGUAGAGAAUACCAAGGCGCUUGAGAGAACUCGGGUGAAGGAACUAGGCAAAAUGGUACCGUAACUUCGGGAGAAGGUACGCUCUUGAUGGUGAAGUCCCUCGCGGAUGGAGCUGACGAGAGUCGCAGAUACCAGGUGGCUGCAACUGUUUAUUAAAAACACAGCACUGUGCAAAAUCGCAAGAUGACGUAUACGGUGUGACGCCUGCCCGGUGCCGGAAGGUUAAUUGAUGGGGUUAGCGCAAGCGAAGCUCUUGAUCGAAGCCCCGGUAAACGGCGGCCGUAACUAUAACGGUCCUAAGGUAGCGAAAUUCCUUGUCGGGUAAGUUCCGACCUGCACGAAUGGCGUAAUGAUGGCCACGCUGUCUCCACCCGAGACUCAGUGAAAUUGAAAUCGCUGUGAAGAUGCAGUGUACCCGCGGCUAGACGGAAAGACCCCGUGAACCUUUACUACAGCUUGGCACUGAACAUUGAACCUACAUGUGUAGGAUAGGUGGGAGGCUAUGAAAACGUGACGCCAGUUGCGUUGGAGCCGUCCUUGAAAUACCACCCUUGUAUGUUUGAUGUUCUAACUUAGACCCGUUAUCCGGGUUGAGGACAGUGCCUGGUGGGUAGUUUGACUGGGGCGGUCUCCUCCCAAAGAGUAACGGAGGAGCACGAAGGUGGGCUAAUCACGGUUGGACAUCGUGAGGUUAGUGCAAUGGCAUAAGCCCGCUUAACUGCGAGAAUGACGGUUCGAGCAGGUGCGAAAGCAGGUCAUAGUGAUCCGGUGGUUCUGUAUGGAAGGGCCAUCGCUCAACGGAUAAAAGGUACUCCGGGGAUAACAGGCUGAUACCGCCCAAGAGUUCAUAUCGACGGCGGUGUUUGGCACCUCGAUGUCGGCUCAUCACAUCCUGGGGCUGAAGUCGGUCCCAAGGGUAUGGCUGUUCGCCAUUUAAAGUGGUACGCGAGCUGGGUUUAGAACGUCGUGAGACAGUUCGGUCCCUAUCUGCCGUGGGCGUUGGAAGAUUGAAGGGGGCUGCUCCUAGUACGAGAGGACCGGAGUGGACGAACCUCUGGUGUUCGGGUUGUGUCGCCAGACGCAUUGCCCGGUAGCUAAGUUCGGAAUUGAUAAGCGCUGAAAGCAUCUAAGCGCGAAGCGAGCCCUGAGAUGAGUCUUCCCUGAUACUUUAAGUAUCCUAAAGGGUUGUUCGAGACUAGAACGUUGAUAGGCAGGGUGUGUAAGCGUUGUGAGGCGUUGAGCUAACCUGUACUAAUUGCCCGUGAGGCUUAACCAU